rnacentral:pre_miRNA from 2 species
AGGUACCCUGUUGAAGACAACCGCAGUUUGAUAGGUACCUUGUUGAAUUGUGGUUGUUCGAUAUGUACCCCUGUCGAAUUGUGGAUGUUCGACAGGGUA